UACGUAGGGUGCGAGCGUUUGUCCGGAAUUAUUGGGCGUAAAGAGCUUGUAGGCGGUUUGUCGCGUCUGCUGUGAAAAUCCGGGGCUCAACCCCGGACUUGCAGUGGGUACGGGCAGACUAGAGUGUGGUAGGGGAGACUGGAAUUCCUGGUGUAGCGGUGAAAUGCGCAGAUAUCAGGAGGAACACCGAUGGCGAAGGCAGGUCUCUGGGCCAUUACUGACGCUGAGAAGCGAAAGCAUGGGGAGCGAACAGG
rnacentral:rRNA from 1 species